rnacentral:rRNA from 1 species
UAGUCAUAUGCUUGUCUCAAAAAUUACCCUUUGCAUGUCUAAGUAUAAGCAAUUAUACCGCGAAACUGCGAAUGGCUCAUUAUAUAAGUUAUCGUUUAUUUGAUAGUACCUUACUACUUGGAUAACCGGGGUAAUUCUAGAGCUAAUACAUGCUAAAAAUCCCGACUUCGGAAGGGAUGUAUUUAUUAAAUUAAAAACCAAGGCCCUUCGGGGCUCACUGGUGAUUCAUGAUAACUCCUCAAAUCGCAUGGCCUUGUGCCGGCAAUGGUUCAUUCAAAUUUCUUCCCUAUCAACUUUCGAUGUUUGGGUAUUGGCCAAACAUGGUUGCAACGGGAAACGGAGGGUUAGGGCUCGACCCCGGAAAAGGAGCCUGAAAAACGGCUACUACAUCCAAGGAAGGCAGCAGGCGCGCAAAUUACCCAAUCCCGACACGGGGAGGUAGUGACAAUAAAUACUGAUACAGGGCUCUUUUGGGUCUUGUAAUUGGAAUGAGUACAAUUUAAAUCCCUUAACGAGGAACAUUU